rnacentral:rRNA from 1 species
UGGGGAAUAUUGCACAAUGGGCGCAAGCCUGAUGCAGCCAUGCCGCGUGUAUGAAGAAGGCCUUCGGGUUGUAAAGCACUUUCAGCGGGGAGGAAGGCGAUAAGGUUAAUAACCUUGUCGAUUGACGUUACCCGCAGAAGAAGCACCGGCUAACUCCGUGCCAGCAGCCGCGGUAAUACGGAGGGUGCAAGCGUUAAUCGGAAUUACUGGGCGUAAAGCGCACGCAGGCGGUCUGUCAAGUCGGAUGUGAAAUCCCCGGGCUCAACCUGGGAACUGCAUUCGAAACUGGCAGGCUAGAGUCUUGUAGAGGGGGGUAGAAUUCCAGGUGUAGCGGUGAACUGCGUAGAGAUCUGGAGGAAUACCGGUGGCGAAGGCAGCCCCCUGGACAAAGACUGACGCUCAGGUGCGAAAGCGUGGGGAGCAAACAGG